rnacentral:rRNA from 1 species
CCUACGGGUGGCAGCAGUGAGGAAUAUUGGUCAAUGGGCGCGAGCCUGAACCAGCCAAGUCGCGUGAGGGAGGACGGCCCUACGGGUUGUAAACCUCUUUUGCCGGGGAGCAACGGGCGCCACGUGUGGCGUCACUGAGAGUACCCGGAGAAAAAGCAUCGGCUAACUCCGUGCCAGCAGCCGCGGUAAUACGGAGGAUGCGAGCGUUAUCCGGAUUUACUGGGUGUAAAGGGCGUGUAGGCGGGAAAGCAAGUCAGAUGUGAAAACCAUGGGCUCAACCUGUGGCCUGCAUUUGAAACUGUUUUUCUUGAGUACUGGAGAGGCAGACGGAAUUCCUAGUGUAGCGGUGAAAUGCGUAGAUAUUAGGAGGAACACCAGUGGCGAAGGCGGUCUGCUGGACAGCAACUGACGCUGAGGCGCGAAAGCGUGGGGAGCAAACAGGAUUAGAUACCCGUGUAGUC